UACGUAGGGCGCAAGCGUUAUCCGGAAUUAUUGGGCGUAAAGAGCUCGUAGGCGGUUUGUCGCGUCUGCCGUGAAAGUCCGGGGCUCAACUCCGGAUCUGCGGUGGGUACGGGCAGACUAGAAUGAUGUGAGGGGAGACUGGAAUUCCUGGUGUAGCGGUGAAAUGCGCAGAUAUCAGGAGGAACACCGAUGGCGAAGGCAGGUCUCUGGGCAUUAACUGACGCUGAGGAGCGAAAGCAUGGGGAGCGAACAGG
rnacentral:rRNA from 1 species